rnacentral:rRNA from 1 species
UGAGGAAUAUUGGUCAAUGGGCGGAAGCCUGAACCAGCCAUUCCGCGUGAAGGAAGAAGGCCUUACGGGUUGUAAACUUCUUUUCUGUAAGAAGAAUAACCGGGACGAGUUUCCGGGAUGACGGUAUUAUAGGAAUAAGCAUCGGCUAACUCCGUGCCAGCAGCCGCGGUAAUACGGAGGGUGAAAGCGUUAUCCGGAUUUAUUGGGCUGAAAGGGUGCGCAGGUUGUUUGACAAGUCAGUGGUGAAAGUCUGCCGCUUAACUGAAGG